AGAGUUUGAUCCUGGCUCAGGAUGAACGCUAGCGGCAGGCCUAAUACAUGCAAGUCGAACGGUUAUAUGGCCUAGCAAUAAGCUGUAUGAUAGUGGCGCACGGGUGCGUAACGCGUAUGCAACCUACCCUUAACUGGGGGAUAGCCCCGGGAAACCGGGAUUAAUACCGCAUAAUAUAAUUUUGUUGCAUGAUGAGAUUAUUAAAGAUUGAUUGGUUAAGGAUGGGCAUGCGUGCCAUUAGCUAGUUGGCGGGGUAACGGCCCACCAAGGCUACGAUGGCUAGGGGUUCUGAGAGGAUGAUCCCCCACACUGGUACUGAGAUACGGACCAGACUCCUACGGGAGGCAGCAGUAGGGAAUAUUGGUCAAUGGACGCAAGUCUGAACCAGCCAUGCCGCGUGCAGGAUGAAGGCCCUCUGGGUUGUAAACUGCUUUUGUACGGGAAGAACAGCCUCCACGAGUUGGGGGUUUGACGGUACUGUAAGGAUAAGGAUCGGCUAACUACGUGCCAGCAGCCGCGGUAAUACGUAGGAUCCGAGCGUUGUCCGGAUUUAUUGGGUUUAAAGGGUGCGCAGGCGGCCCGAUAAGUCAGUGGUGAAAGCCGGCAGCUUAACUGUCGAAUUGCCAUUGAUACUGUUGGGCUUGAGUAUAGUUGAGGUUGGCGGAAUGUAUCAUGUAGCGGUGAAAUGCUUAGAUAUGAUACAGAACACCGAUUGCGAAGGCAGCUGACUAAGCUAUUACUGACGCUCAUGCACGAAAGCGUGGGGAUCAAACAGGAUUAGAUACCCUGGUAGUCCACGCUAUCGUGACUGGGAAACAGAUCGGAAGAGCACACGUCUGAACUCCAGUCACUCUCGCGCAUCUCGUAUGCCGUCUUCUGCUUGAAAAAAAA
rnacentral:rRNA from 1 species